rnacentral:lncRNA from 1 species
AUGAGAUCCAGGUUAUGGGGGAGAGGCAGAGCUCUGAAGAAUGCAAGGAAAUGAGAACCUAAUCCCAGUGCACCUGGAGAGGAGGACUCCUGGGAGAGGUGGGCAGGAGACUCCACUGGGAGGAAGGCCCAGGCCUUCUGUUUCCCCUUAGGUUGGACGGAGAGCAUCGGCACACCUGUGACGGGAAAAUCAGACAGAUGGGCCUGGGACUGCCCUGGAGCUCUGGGGCACCACCCCCUUCCAGGGAACGGGUCAAGUAUGUCUUUCUCUUGACUGUUUCCUCUAAGAAAAGGCUCUCAGAGCCCUCAUUUUCUAUUUCUUCCUCAGGCCUCAAGCCUGGUCUAUUGGGCAGCACGCCAUAGCCUAUGCCUUGGUCCUGUCAAGACCCAUCUAGAAGCUGCUGGCCUUGCUGGGCUCUUCUCCUUCCUAUUCACUGUCCCCUGUGUGAUCUGAUCCUCGCAGACCCACGUCCUCCUAACACAGCUACAGCUGGCCACCACAGGUCUAAGAACAAGGUGCGGAGACUGAAGUUCGGGUAGAGCGAUGGCUAAACCACUAAACUGCGGAUGAUGGGGAUCUAUUCCUGUGCUUUCUCAACCCAGUCACCCCCUCUGACCUCUGCUGGACAGACCCGAGGACAGGGAAGUCCCCUCUAGAGAAGAGGGCUCAGACCUACUGCAGCACAAGACCAAGGGACAGGGAGACCCUCUGCACAAGAAGCUGCCUGCCAACCAGACCCACAACCUCAGCCAACUCCUACCUAUGCAGCCCAACCUAGGCUGCUACUUCCAAUGGGACGCAGGUUUCUCCAAACAGCAAAGCAUGUGGGCUCCAUCUGGACAGGCCUGAGUCACAGGAGAACACCCUGCCCACCCCAGCUACCCUCAGCAAGGCAGCGCUGUAUCGAUGAAUGCUAAAGCGACUCACACAGGAGACUUCAUGAAGGUUGGAAGACACUGCAAAGUAUGAAGAUGCACUCAGCCGCAAGACACAUGGGUGGAGCACACAAGUACUCCUCCACAGUCAUGGAAUCACAGGGCCACACAAGAAGGGGCUAUGUCCAUUUUAUUCUCCCCCACCAUA